GGGGAGCUCAUCUUCUCUUCAAGCUCAGCAGAGAGGAGGCUGCACCAUGACCUGGGCUCCUCUCCUCCUCACCUUCCUCACUCACUACACAGGGACUGUGGCCCAGGCAAGGCUGACUCAGCUGCCCUCGGUGUCCCAGAACUUGAGACACACGGUCACCCUCACCUGCAAGGGGGACAGCAACAAUGUUGGUAACCAAGGAGCAGCCUGGCUGCAGCAGCCCCCGGAUCAAGUCCCCAAACUCCUGACCCACAGGAAUAACAACCGACCCCCGGGGGUCUCAGAGAGGUUCUCUGGCUCCAGGUCAGGGGACACAGCCUCCCUGACCAUCUCUGACCUCCAGCCUGAGGAUGAGGCUGAUUACUACUGUACUGCGUGGGACAGCAGUGAAAACGCACACAGUGCUCUGGACCAGAGAGGAACUGAGACACAAACCCCCUCCCCUUGCCUGCUCUCUCCAAGGCCCCUCAAUGAGACGCUGGUGGAGGAGUCUCGGGCAGCCCUGGGUGUUGCAGGCUGCAAAGGCGUGACUCUGUGCCCCUGGGCCAAGCAGAGAGCCCUGCAGAAGGCCUUGAAGUUGGGAGCUGAGAGCCCAGGCCUCCUCUGA